rnacentral:rRNA from 1 species
AGGAUAAACGCUGGCGGCGUGCCUAACACAUGCAAGUCGAACGUCCUACGCAAGUAGGGAGUGGCGGACGGGUGAGUAACACGUGGGCAAUCUACCUUUCGGUGAGGAAUACCGGCGAGAAAUCGCCGACAAUACCGCAUACGCUUCGCAAGAAGCAAAGUCGCAAGACGCCGGAGGAGGAGCCUGCGCCCGAUUAGCUGGUUGGUGAGGUAAGAGCUCACCAAGGCGACGAUCGGUAGCUGGUCUGAGAGGAUGAUCAGCCACACUGGGAUUGAGAACGGCCCAGACUCCUACGGGGGGCAGCAGUGAGGAAUUUUCCGCAAUGGGCGAAAGCCUGACGGAGCAACGCCGCGUGAGUGAUGAAGACCUUCGGGUUGUAAAGCUCUGUCGGAGGGAAGAACACAAUGACGGUACCCUCCAAGAAAGCCCCGGCUAACUACGUGCCAGCAGCCGC